UAAUUUGCGCAUUGGCAAUUCAGUUGUGUUCAUCUUUUCCUGUGACAGAUAUCAUCGAGGGGGACAUCUACAUGCCACCAAUCACAUCGGUUUCCGACCUUAGGGCGAGAACAAAAGAGACUCCUUUGUGGCCUGGAGGCGUAGUUCACUACAUCAUCGACGACGCUUUUGAUUCGUGGGAGAAGGAAGAAAUCCUCAGCGCCAUGCAGCAGAUCGAGUCGGUCUCGUGCGUCCAGUUCAGGGAGCGCGCCGAUGAAGAAGGAUACAUCCACAUUCUGAGCAAGC